rnacentral:rRNA from 1 species
UACGUAGGUGGCAAGCGUUGUCCGGAUUUAUUGGGUUUAAAGGGUGCGUAGGCGGCCCUGUAAGUCAGUGGUGAAAUACUCCAGCUUAACUGGAGGGGUGCCAUUGAUACCGCAGGGCUUGAGUGGAGUCGAAGUAGGCGGAAUUGACGGUGUAGCGGUGAAAUGCUUAGAUAUCGUCAAGAACACCGAUAGUGAAGACAGUUUACUAGGCUUCUACUGACGCUGAGGCACGAAAGUGUGGGGAGCAAACAGG